rnacentral:lncRNA from 1 species
GAUGAUCAAUUGACAUGAAAUUAAAUUGUGGAAUAAAAAACUAAUCUUUAGAUAUACUCCAGAUCUUUAAAUCCAAUAUUUCCAUGAAAUUUAUUAAAAUAAUAAGAAACUAAUCUCUAAAACAUAUUCUUGAUAUACUCAUUGUAAUGUUCAAUUUAGAUUCUUUGCACAUGUAAUCUAGUACAGUCACAUGGUCACUUACAUUGGAUCAAACGAAACGAUCCAAUACACAUUUCACAAUUCAUAUUUUAGAUUUUAAUAAAAUCAAAAUCUAUAUUAUCAUUUAAUUUUUACCCAAUGACCAGCUAUGAUCACUGGAUGAAUACACACAUAUAGUAAAUAAUUUAGAUUUUCUCAUUACCCCUUUUCAUGGUAACUGCUAAGCAAGCAGAUAAUACUACAUAAGCCUAAAAACCAUAAGAAGAAGAAGAAAAAAACAUAAUUAGCCAAAUAAUUUACAUAAGUAAUAUAUAUAUGUCUCUAGCAUAAGAUUUAAUUUCAAAAUGUAGCCCAAAAUUUCAUGAGGCUUUCAAGUAAAGAACCUCAACAUCACCCUCAUCACCAUCAUGAUGGAUCUUCUUUAAAAAACAAAUUUCACCAUUGUUCAAGUGAGAAACAUGAACAGCCAUACAUUGCAUACCAUGUAUAUAACCAUCUCUUAACCUUUUCCAUAGAUUUGUUGAUAACCUUAAGAUCUUUGGUUGAACUUUUUCCAUCAUUUCAAAAAAGUUCAAAUUCUUUGAACCUAACAUAGCAACAUUUUCAUUAAUAGUGCAAUCACUCACCUCUUUGUUGCUCUUGAGCUUAUGGUAUAUUUUUCUCUUUGUGUACCUUAUGCUUCCACACAUGGGAAUGAACUCAACCAUCUCCAUUUUGCGUGGUGAAGGAGUGAGAGAGAUAAUUGAAAAUACCAAAACAAAGGUGUUGCUAGCUACUUUAUUUAUAGGAUAUAUAAUGUUAUAUAGAUGCACCACAAGUAAAUGGUUCUAACAAACCCCACCAACUCAAAUUGAUCUAAUGUAAAAAAAU